UGUCGGCUCUUCCUAUCA
rnacentral:ncRNA from 4 species